CUGGAAGCAAAUCCACUUGCUCACCAUCAAAAACAGAGCAAUAAUAUGUUUUCACCGGUAGAGGCCAGCAAAUCACCAUCUACAAAUGGUGGCGAUUCCUGUUGGACUGUGAGACAAAUACUGUGAAAAGUCUCCCAACAGGAAGGUAGACAGACCUAAAAGUGUCUUGAAUAGAUGUUAUUCCACGUUCUGCUAUUAUUACAGCGUGCCUGGAGGUAAAAGCUCUGGGUAAUUUUACCCUGGGAGAUUUUGUGCCAGAAAGAUUCCGACAACUCAUCAUAAAUGCUACUCGUGAGUUCUGUGCCGACUGCCAAUUUAACUUCACGUUGACCUUGGGACCAGUCCCUUGAUGGAAGUCUAACUCCUUUGCGUGCAAGAGGGGAGAAGUCCACUGUUCUUCCAGUUUGUCAAUCAUGGCAUUUUGAUUGUAUACACAGGGAUGACUUUAAUGCAUGCUUGUCAAGCUAUGACAAUAAAAGAGCUCAGCAA